GACCCACACCCACCCUGAGUGACCCCUGAGUGACCCACAUCAUCCCUCAGCAGCACCUCAUCAGCACUGGGGGGCACGGGGUGUGGGGUGAGACCCCCACAGUGACCCCCACAGUGACCCACAGCCACCCUGAGUGACCCCUGAGUGACCCACACCCACCUCAGCAGCACCUCGUCAGCACUGGGGGGCACGGGGUGUGGGGUGAGACCCCCACAGUGACCCACAGCCACCCAGGAUGACCCACACCCUGUCCUGAGUGACCCACACCCCCCUCAGCAGCACCUUGUCAGCACUGGGGGGCACGGGGUGUGGGGUGAGACCCCCAGAGUGACCCCCAGAGUGACCCACACCCACCCAGGAGUGACCCACAGCCCAUGGGAGUGACCCCUGAGUGACCCACACCAUCCCCUGAGUGACCCACACCCCCCUCAGCAGCACCUCGUCAGCACUGGGGGGCAGGGGGUGUGGGGUGAGACCCCCAGAGUGACCCCUGAACCCCCACAGUGACCCACAGCCUGUCCUGAGUGACCCACACCCCAUGGGAGUGAC